CCUUGACAUACUAAGAACUUUCAGNGAUGGAUUGGUGCCUUCGGGAACUUAGAUACAGGUGCUGCAUGGCUGUCGUCAGCUCGUGUCGUGAGAUGUUGGGUUAAGUCCCGNAACGAGCGCAACCCUUUUCCUUAUUUGCCAGCGGGUCAUGCCGGGAACUUUAAGGAUACUGCCAGUGACAAACUGGAGGAAGGCGGGGACGACGUCAAGUCAUCAUGGCCCUUACGGCCAGGGCUACACACGUGCUACAAUGGUCGGUACAAAGGGUUGCUACCUCGCGAGAGGAUGCUAAUCUCAAAAAGCCGAUCGUAGUCCGGAUCGCAGUCUGCAACUCGACUGCGUGAAGUCGGAAUCGCUAGUAAUCGCGGAUCAGAAUGCCGCGGUGAAUACGUUCCCGGGCCUUGUACACACCGCCCGUCACACCAUGGGAGUUUGUUGCACCAGAAGUAGGUAGUCUAACCGCAAGGAGGACGCUUACCACGGUGUGGCCGAUGACUGGGGUGAAGUCGUAACAAGGUAGGCGUAGAUGA
rnacentral:rRNA from 1 species